GAUGAACGCUAGCGGCAGGCUUAAUACAUGCAAGUCGAGGGGCAGCAUAAGUAGCAAUACUUGAUGGCGACCGGCAAACGGGUGCGGAACACGUACGCAACCUUCCUUUAAGUGGGGAAUAGCCCGGGGAAACCCGGAUUAAUACCCCGUAAUAUUAUGAUGUGGCAUCACUUUAUAAUUAUAGAUUCAUCGCUUAAAGAUGGGCGUGCGCCUGAUUAGGUAGUUGGCGGGGUAACGGCCACCAAGCCUGCGAUCAGUAACUGGUGUGAGAGCACGACCAGUCACACGGGCACUGAGACACGGGCCCGACUCCUACGGGAGGCAGCAGUAAGGAAUAUUGGUCAAUAGGACGCAAGUCUGAACCAGCCAUGCCGCGUGGAGGAUGAAGGUCCUCU
rnacentral:rRNA from 1 species